CCGGAAGACAGCAGCCGUCCCGGUUUUGUUCACCGGCCUCCUCCGAGCUAGCGUGGUGCAGGCCUGACGAGCGUCCGCAGCAGCCAAUCGCCGGCAGGCCGCGCCUCCUUCCUCCUCGCCUCGUCGCUCAUUGAUAUGGAGCUCAAGUUGUCAGGCAUGCCCAGCAAGCACUUUCACCCACUGCCCAUCCUGCCAGCCCUAAUUUUCUACUAAGAACCUGUGCGAGCAGUCAUGUCUCUUCGCCAGACCAUACGAAAUGGAAAAAGCAUGCCACCGUACAGACAGAGGAUCACAAAAUGUGCACCCCAGAAAAAAUGAUAGGAUAUAACUUCUUAAAAAUAGUGCAGAGUAAAAUGUGGACUAAAACAAUAUAUUAUCCAGAUCAUCAUACUUGAAAUAAGUUACUUUGACACAUCAAGUAAUAAAUACCUGAUGCUUUUUCUAGUAUCACUUAUCUGUCAAAUUCUCUGCCAAAUUCUUGAUGGAAGAGUCUUCCCCUCUGUUCUCUGGAUCCUAUUCCCCUUACUGCAUUUUUUUCCUAGGUCUUUCUUCUUGCUAUUUUGUGAGGUGGUAAAGGCACACACACACCACAAAAUACAUGUGAAGGUCAAAAGACAAGUGUGGGAGUCAGUUUUCUCCAGACUGUCAGCUUUGGCAACAAGUGCCUUUACCUUCCAAGGCCUCUUGCUAGCUUCCACGCUCUCAACAAUGCUUCUACAAAGAAGAGUCUGCACCCCACCUCCUCAGCUUACAGUACCUCUAAAGUCUAUUUCAGUGGGGCUUGAAUCCUCAUGGCUCCAAACCUACACUUUUCAAGAAGUUUUGAUACACACCAAUGGGAUCCAGAGUGAAGUCUUGUUAGUGCCCACUAUACUUUGAAUCCUGCUCCCAUCUCCCACCACUGCAUUUUUAUUUUAUUUUUUGCAGUGCUGAGAAAGGAAUCUAAUGCCUGUUGAGCAAAAGCUGCACCACUAGAACUACAUCCCAAACCCAUUUGACCUUUAAAUUCCAUCCUUUGUUUCCUUAUUUCCAUUCUCACAGUACCUACAUUAUUAAAUUACACUGCUGAAACCCCUUUCUGUAUUUAAAAGUCAGUGGCUGUCAUGAUCUUUCAGCCCUCACCUGUUCUGGGGCUCCAGAUGCUGUCUAUGCUGUACCUCCAAAAGGAUGAGCACUGGCUCAGACUUCAAAAACACCCAAACUUGAUUGCUGGUCUCUUAAUCCUUUAUGUUCCCAGGAGAGCUAAGGUAGGAGAAUCUCAGGUUGAAAACCGGCUUGGGCUGUACAGUGAGACCCUGUCUAAAUAAAUAAAUAAAAUGGCUCAACACACACAUAUAUAAACAAUAUACAUGACUAAUACAGGUGAGAGAGCUCAAGAUGGCAGGUAAACAAUGCUUGGCUCUACAGCCUAGUAACCUGAACUCUAUCCUCAAAAUCCACAUAAAGGUGAAGAGGAAUGACCCCAGUCUCUUCCCCCGAUACGUGUGCUGUGGCAAGCAUUCCCCACACAUACAUCAUGCACAGAGAUACUCACAUAAAAAAAAAUUAACAAAAAUUUUAGGGGCUGGAGAAAUGGCUCAGCAGUUUAAAGCAUUGGCUGUCCCUUCUAGAGAACCCAGGUUCGAUUACCAAUGACCACAUGGCAAUUCAUAAUCAUCUUUAACUGCAUUUCUAGGGGAUCCUACAUACAUGAGGGCAAAACAGCAAUGCACAUAAAAUAAGAAUAAAAUAAUUUUUAAAUUUAUUUUUUUAAAUGUUUUAAAAACCAGACAAUGGUGGUUUAAUCCUUUAAUCCUAGCACUCAGGAGGCAGAGGCAGGCAGAGCUCUAAAAGUUAAGGCCAGCCUGGUCUACAGAGUGACUUCCAGGACAGCCAGGACUAAACAGAGAAACCCUGUCUCAAACAGUAGCCCAGAGCAGUGGUUCCCCCCCUUAUAACCCCAGCAUUCUGGGAGGCAGAGGCAGGUGGAUCUCUUUUGAGUUCGAGGCCAGCCUGGUCUAUAGAGUCCAAGACAGAAAGGCUACACAGAGAAACCCUGUAUUGAAUAAAUAAAUAGACACAUACAUAAAUAAAUUUUGGUUUGGUUUGGUUUGGUUUUGGUUUUUAGAGAUAGGGUUUCUCUGUAUACCUCUGGCUGUCCUAGAAUAAGCCAGGUGUGAUGGUGUGACUCAUGCACUCAUGAUGUGGAGAAAGGAAAACUGCCAGCUUCGUCCUGAGUGUGAAUAAUCCCUUUCUCAGGAAUGUGCAUAAACACAAAUACACAGGCAAUGCAAUGGCUCAAUGCAAAAGUAAUCCCUUUCUAAGAAGCAUGCACAAAUACAAACACACACGUAUGGCCUAAGAGGCAAGAGCACUUGCUUACCGAAAAAUAAAAAGGCCAGAUAUGAUGGCUCAUGCCUUUAAUCCCAGCACUUGGGAGGCAGAAGCAGGCAGAUCUCUGAGUUGGAGACCAGCCAGGUCUGCAGAUUAGGUUCCAAGACAGCCAGGACUACAUAGAGAGACCCUGUCUCAGAAAAGAAACAACAAAAAAAACCACCAAAACCAAAAAGCAUACUUGUUAUUUUCCACAGGCUAGCAUUUGGCUCCCAGCACCCACAAAGCAACUCACAGACUAAACUCCAGCUCCAGGGAUCUGAUAUUCUUUGUGGCCUUCCCAGGCACCAUGCAUGCAUGUGGUACACAUACAUACACAUAAAAUUUAAAACACAAACACUCAGUGCAUCUCAUCAUUGAUUCCAUUUUCUCUUCCAUAUCACUCUCCAUUUUACUUUCAAAAUACCCCAAAGCACAGAUGGUAGCUCUCCCCAGCCCCUUCUCUGUAAUCCUUAUUCUGUCCUCCACCAAUUCACACCUAGAUACUGACACAAAAAUAUAUAUCACUUGUGCCUUGGCUUCUCCAGAGGCCUGCCAUCUGUAAUCAACUAUCCACACAGCAAUGAUCUCUUCAAAUGGAGAGUGAACUAAUAAAACAUUAUGUGAGGGGUACUGGAGGCAGAUGGGGACACAGGGACAGAAGGCAGGGAAUCAGGGGACAGUAGGAGAAUCAACCAAAACUAAGCCAUGUAUGAAGAUGCAAGAAAGAAAUCUCCCCCGUAAAGCACACUGUGCCACUCCUCUGCUCAAUGACCCGGUUAGUCCUCUGGUCUCUCCCACUGCUGUGGAUAAAAUCCCUUGACUCUGACUGAAGAACAGCAUACUUUACCUGACCUUACCAGCUCCCUCCAGCCUCACCUUUACUUUGGUUCAUUACACCCAAUCACUGAACUUAAAACUAUCCUUUCUAGGAUUUCCGCCAUUUCCUCUACUGGGAAGCUGUUACACAAGUACUGCUUCCUUUUUCGAGGUCUUACUCAAGAUGUACUUUCAGAAAGUGCCCUCCCUGACUGUCUCAUAUCCCCAAAUUUAAACUUCUCUAUACUAUUUGCCUUUUUUUAAUUAUUUUGCUGCAAGCUUUAAAACUUUGCCACCUAGAACAGUUUCUGGUAAGUACAUGCUCUGAUGAGUUAUGGAAUGAAGAAAUGGAUAAAUUUAUUGUAUACUAACUAAAGUUCAGACAAGAAACACCAAAAUGGGCUUUCCCAGCUUAAAGCCCCAAAACCCUAGUACAUUUGGGCUUUGGGACCUGAUUGCACACAAACAGACAAAAGGUAGAAUAGCUGUAAUAAAAAGGUAAUGAGCAGCAACUGGUAAGAUGGCCCAGCAGUUGGAGCACUGUCUGCUCUUCCAAAGGUCCUGAGUUCAAUUCCCAACAACCAUAUGGUGACUCACAACCAUCUAUAAUGGGAUCUGAUGCCAGGCAGACAGAACACUCAAUACAAUAAGCAAAUUUAAAAAAGAAAGAGAAGAAAAAAAGAAAAGGUAAUGGGCUAUUUCCAAGUAUACCCAGCAGUGCAAACAGGUUUACCAUCAUAAAAACAUGCCUGGC